rnacentral:rRNA from 1 species
AUGAGGUUCUUCCAGGCUUUUUAUGACCAUGCCUGCGACCUGAGCGGCAUCAACACUACACACGUUGUGCUGCUACCAAAGAAAGAGAACCCAACUGAUAUUAAGGAUUUCAGGCCAAUUGCUCUAGUCCACAGCAUACCCAAGCUCGCAACAAAAGUUCUAGCAGUCCGGUUUCAAAGUUUCAUUCCGAGC